rnacentral:lncRNA from 1 species
GUUGGAUAGUUGUCUCAUUAGCCAUCCUAUCUCAUCUCCUCGAGAUUUUUAGAAACUUGAAAUUUGAAGUCCGACCUUUUUACCUGCAUUUUGUUGUGUGGUUGGUAGGACUACUGAUUCAUGAGAAGUUGUUGUACGUGAGCAUUUAUGGUUGGUAUGACCACAAAUUCAGGUUAAGUUGUUGAACAUUAAAGUUUAUGGUGUGGAGGACAUGGGAACAGUAUAUGUUCCUGGUAGGACUACUGAUCCAGGUAAAGUUAGUGUACGUUAAGUUUUAUGAUUGGUAGGACUACAGAUUCAAAUGAAGUUGGUGUCCGUUUAAGUUUUAUGGUUGAUACACAUGUAGGACUACUGAUUCCGGUGAAGUUGGUGUACGUUAAGUGUUGUGGUUGGUAGGACUACUAAUAUACAGGAGCAGUU